GCGCAAUUAAAUAAGAGUGUAUGGUGAAUGCCUUGACACCAAAAGACGAAGAAGGACGUGGCAGGGUGCGAUAAGCCUCGGCGAGCUCCCAAGCAAGCUUUGACCCGAGGAUUUCCGAAUGGGGAAACCCGGCUUCGACGUAAGUCGAAGUCAUCUUAUACUGAAUUCAUAGGUGUAAGAAGAAGACCUGGCGAAGUGAAACAUCUCAGUAGCCAGAGGAAAAUAAAUCGAAGAGAUUCCCCCAGUAGUGGCGAGCGAAAAGGGAAAAGUCUAAACUAUAUAAAUGUUUUUAUGGUAAUAGGUUGGUCUUCGGAUUAACUUUGAACUGUGAUUUAAAGGACAGACCGUUGUUUAUAUAGUGUUGUAAGACAGUAGCGUCGACUUUCUGUAUGUCGAGUGAAAAUUUGAUUCUUAGUAAAAUGUUCUGGAAAGAACAACCAAAGAAGGUAACAGUCCUGUAUAUAAAAAUUAUCAAAUUAUCAUUGCUAUUGUUCUUGAGUAGGGCGAAACUCGUGAAAUUUCGUCUGAAUUUGGGCCGACUAUGGUCUAAGACUAAAUACUUUUGGUGAUCGAUAGUGGACAAGUACCACGAGGGAAAGGUGAAAAGUAGCCCGGAGAGGGCGAUGAAAUAGUAUCUGAAACCGUACACUUACAAAGAGCGGGAGUCCGUAGUGUCGCAAGACACUGGAUGACCGUGUUCCUAUUGAAGAAUGAGCCUGCGAGUAUGUUGUGUGUCGCAAUGCUUAAGCCCCUCUGGGGUGGAGGCGCAGCGAAAGCGAGUCUUAACGGGCGCUAAGUGGCACGCAUAUAACCCGAAACCGGGUGAGCUAUCCAUGACCAGGAUGAACCUUUUAGAAAUAAAAGGGGAGGUCCGAACUCACGAGCCGUGCAACACUCGGAGAUGAGUUGUGGAUGGGAGAGAAAUUCUAAUCGAACUCGGUGAUAGCUGGUUUUCCUCGAAAUAUAUCUAGGUAUAGCCUUAAGUGUUCCUGCUGGUGGUAGAGCACUGGAUGAGAAUUGGGUCCUUCGGGAUACCGUUUUUAAUCAAACUCCGAAUACCAGUAGCCAAACUUAGGAGUCAGGCAGUGGGGGCUAAGCUUCAUUGCCAAAAGGGGAACAGCCCAGAUCGCUAGCUAAGGUCCCUAAAUCUACAUUAAGUGUAACGAAGGUGGUUUUAAUUCUCAAACAACCAGGAGGUUGGCUUAGAAGCAGCCAUCCUUUAAAGAAAGCGUAAUAGCUCACUGGUCAAGAGUUUUAGCGCCGAAAAUGUACGGGACUAAAAUGUAGUACCGAAGCUGCGAACUUACCGCGGAGAACUUUAAAUUCUAACAACAAAAAUUAACAUUUCUCUGUAAAUUUAAAAAAUUUAUUUUUUAAAUUUACAGCAAAUGAUUAAAACAAAAUGUAGUUAGUUAGAAAGUAGAGUUCUCCGUGGUAAUUGGUAGAGGAAUGUUCUUUAUGCGCUGAAGCCGUAGGCGUGAGCCGCGGUGGAGUGUAAAGAAGUAAGAAUGCAGGCAUAAGUAGCAAAAAGGCAGGUGCGAAUCCUGCCCGCCGAAAAUCCGAGGUUUCCUGGGCAACGCGAAUCGUCCCAGGGUUAGUCGGUCCUAAGGCCAGGCCGAAAGGCGUAACCGAUGGAAGAGCUGGUUAAUAUUCCAGCACUGUGCAUAGUUUGGUUUUUAUUGCACAUCUUUAAGCUUUUAGCGUAUUUUGGUUAUAUACGUGUCGCAAGACGGAGACGAAGCCUUCGGGUAGAGUCAACUAAAGGUGGCGAGGUGUCUAGAAAAGAUAAAAAUCGUUAAGCUAUGUAUAACCGUACCGUAAACCGACACAGGUGGAUAGGUCGAGUAGACCAAGGCGCAUGAGAGAACCCUCGUUAAGGAACUCUGCAAUACAACGGCCGUAACUUCGGGAUAAGGCCUGCCCAUAGCAAUAUGGGUUACAACAAAAGACCAGCUGCGACUGUUUACCAAAAACACAGCUCCCUGCUAAAUCGUAAGAUGAUGUAUAGGGGGUGAUGCCUGGCCAGUGUCAGAACGUUAAGGGGAGAGGUUAAUCGCAAGAUGAAGCCUUGAGCCGAAGCGCUGAUGAACGCCGGCGGUAACUAUAACCGUCCUAAGGUUGUGGAUUCAAGCAAUUGAGUUCACUAGGAUUGGGACGAUUAUAGCAAAUAGUAAACAGUGACAAAAAAUAAUUACCAUUGCAGAUAAUUAAUUUUUUAAAGCCAUUUAAAAAAGCUGCCUUAUUUUAUAGCAAUAUAAAAUAUAAUCCGAUCAUAGCUAUAUGCUGGGAAAACUCAACGAAAGUUGAGAGGAUCAGCAGGGAAGGCCAACAAAGUGUUGGAACCCUCAGAGACUAAACGCUAUGCUCCGUCAAAAACGGAUGAAGAUAGAGUCCAUUGUAGAGGAAUCAAUAAGCGAAAUUCCUUGUCGGGUGAGUUCCGACCCGCACGAAUGGCAUAACGAUGGCUGGACUGUCUCAACGAGGGACUCAGUGAAAUUGCAAGGGAGGUGAAGAUGCCUCCUACCCGUAACUAGACGAAAAGACCCCGUGAAGCUUUACUACAAUUUGAUAUUGGUAUAAGAAUAAAUCUGUUGAGAGUAGGUGGGAGCCGCAAGGCGACGAUGAGACACCACCCUUACUUGUUUUUAUGCCUAAUUUCCCGACAUGAAUCUGCCGGGGAAAACAGUGUCUGAUGGGUAGUUUAACUGGGGCGGUUGCCUCCUAAAAUGUAACGGAGGCGUUUACAAAGGUCAGCUUAGCUCGGAUGGAAAUCGAGCUGGACGCGCAAACGCAAAAGCUGGCUUUACUGCAAGACCUACAAGUCGAGCAGUUACGAAAGUAGAAGUUAGUGAACCGACCACCUCAAAUAGGAGAGUGGAAGAUCAACGGAUAAAAGCUACUCCGGGGAUAACAGGCUGAUCGGACCCGAUAGUCCUUAUAGACGGUCCGGUUUGGCACCUCGAUGUCGGCUCAUCGCAUCCUGGGACUGAAGAAGGCCCCAAGGGUUUGGCUGUUCGCCAAUUAAAGCGGUACGCGAGCUGGGUUCAGAACGUCGUGAGACAGUUCGGUCUCCUAUCUGUUACGGGCGUAGAAUGUUGAGAAGGCUCUUUCCUAGUACGAGAGGACCGGAAAGAACAAAUCUCUGGUGUACCAGUUGUCCUACCAAGGGCAUUGCUGGGUAGCUAUUAUUUGGCACGGAUAAACGCUGAAAGCAUAUAAGCGUGAAGCCGUCUUCAAGAUUAACAUUCGUUAUAGACCCCUUGUAGAUUACAAGGUUGAUAGGCUCUAUGUGUAAGCAUCGUAAGGUGUUAAGCUGAGGAGUACUAAUCGGUCGAGCGCAC
rfam:Candidatus Magasanikbacteria bacterium RIFOXYD1_FTLL_40_23 rifoxyd1_full_scaffold_160, whole genome shotgun sequence.